GGCCUUCUGUUAAUUACUGCAGGCUGUGUUCUUUAUAUGAAAUUAAUAGAAAGAGGAGGCACAGUAAAUGCAACCCAUAUAAACAUCAGCCCUUCCCUUUGCCUAAUCUGUAUUAUGAAUAGUAGGACAUAG